AGCCUUAGCUAGCGGAAAUAACGGAUUUUUGCUUGAACCAUGUUAAUGUUGAUGGAACGAAUGUGCCCUUCAUAAUUUGUUGUGAGUGUAAAGGUACUAAUGACAAAGUUUUAUGAGUACUAAGAAAUUUCUGGUAAAAAGCAGUAGCUAUUUUCAAUUAUUUCUAUUGAUUAUUGUUUGACAUGGUACAAUUAAGGUUGUAAAUCUAAUUCUUGCGUGAAAUUCGUUAGUUG
rnacentral:lncRNA from 1 species